AUUGAACGCUGGCGGAAUGCUUUACACAUGCAAGUCGAACGGUAGAGGGGGCAACCCCUUGAGAGUGGCGAACGGGUGAGUAAUAUAUCGGAACGUGCCCAGUCGUGGGGAUAACGUAGCGAAAGUUACGCUAAUACCGCAUACGAUCUAAGGAUGAAAGCGGGGGACUCGCAAGAGCCUCGCGCGAUUGGAGCGGCCGAUAUCAGAUUAGGUAGUUGGUGGGGUAAAGGCUCACCAAGCCAACGAUCUGUAGCUGGUCUGAGAGGACGACCAGCCACACUGGAACUGAGACACGGUCCAGACUCCUACGGGAGGCAGCAGUGGGGAAUUUUGGACAAUGGGCGCAAGCCUGAUCCAGCAAUGCCGCGUGCAGGAUGAAGGCC
rnacentral:rRNA from 1 species